rnacentral:rRNA from 1 species
GACGAACGCUGGCGGCGUGCUUAACACAUGCAAGUCGAACGAAGUGGCGAACGGGUGAGUAAUACGUGGGUAACUGCCCCCCUCUCUGGGAUAACAGUUGGAAACGGCUGCUAAUACCGGAUAGUGGGGGAUGACUCGCGUCCUAUCAGCUUGUUGGUGGGGUAGUGGCCUACCAAGGCGACGACGGGUAGCCGGCCUGAGAGGGCGACCAGCUACACUGGGCUGAGAUACGGCCCAAAGGCGUACGGGAGGCAGCAGGGGGGAAUAUUGCACAAUCGGGGAAACGCUGAUGAAGCAACGCCGCGUGCGGUAUGACGGCCUUCGUGUUGUAAACCGCUUUCAGCCAUGACGCGGUAGUGGCAGAAGAAGCACCGGCUAACCACGUUCCAGCAGCCGCGGUAAUUC